GUACACACUUCAUUUCACCUACCGCCAGAAAGACUACUGUGCAUUCAUUAGAAAGCAUCUCUGGAAAAGUUGGACCGCAUGCAGGAAGGCAGAAUAAAUGCCAGGAAAUUAUGUCCAGGAUAAUACUGCAGAUGAUGAAGGCACCCACGUUCUAUAAAUACAGUUCAAAUUUGGACAAAUAACGAGGAAAUAAAAUUCAUCAUUAGCACUGUGGCAGCAUAAAGGUUGGGCAUUGGGUGACAGGAGAGCCCCAGUUUGUUCCAAUUGAGUAGAAACCAGGUUGACAAAAAUCUAGUGGACUGCACCUAAAGACUCCGUGUAUUAUAGCAACAAAAAUGUGGUGCGUAUCUGUUAAAAGAAUUCUCCAAGCACCAUAACCACUACAGUACCCUGGCUUGUCCUGGAGCCAUUGUAUUCAAUCAAACCAUUUUAAGAAUGGUUUGACUCCUUAUCUGGGAUCCACCGUUGUAGUAGGGCUUGGCUCAUUGGCUGAGAGUGAUUAUUUC